GCCUCCUUAGCUCAGCUCGGCCAGAGCGCCGCACUUGUAAUGCGUAGGUCGUCGGUUCGAAUCCGACAGGGGGCUCCA
rnacentral:tRNA from 1 species